CUCGUAGGCGGUUUGUCGCGUCGGGAGUGAAAUCUUCGGGCUUAACUCGGAGCUUGCUUUCGAUACGGGCAGACUUGAGGCAUUCAGGGGAGAACGGAAUUCCUGGUGUAGCGGUGAAAUGCACAGAUAUCAGGAGGAACACCGGUGGCGAAGGCGGUUCUCUGGGAAUGUUCUGACGCUGAGGAGCGAAAGUGUGGGGAGCGAACA
rnacentral:rRNA from 1 species